rnacentral:rRNA from 1 species
GACGAGCCUCACGAACGUUAUUCGGAAUUAUUGGGCGUAAAGAGCGUGUAGGCGGUUCGGUAAGUCUGCCGUGAAAACCUGGGGCUCAACCCCGGGCGUGCGGUGGAUACUGCCGGGCUAGAGGGUGGUAGAGGCGAGUGGAAUUCCCGGUGUAGCGGUGAAAUGCGUAGAUAUCUGGAGGAACACCGGUGGCGAAGGCGGCGUCCUGGACCAACACUGACACUGAGGAGCGAAAGCCAGGGGAGCAAACGGG